rnacentral:rRNA from 1 species
AUACGUAGGUGGCAAGCGUUAUCCGGAUUUAUUGGGCGUAAAGCGAGCGCAGGUCGGUUUUUUAAGUCUGAUGUGAAAGCCCUCGGCUUAACCGAGGAAGCGCAUCGGAAACUGGGAAACUUGAGUGCAGAAGAGGACAGUGGAACUCCAUGUGUAGCGGUGAAAUGCGUAGAUAUAUGGAAGAACACCAGUGGCGAAGGCGGCUGUCUGGUCUGUAACUGACGCUGAGGCUACGAAAGCAGUGGGUAGAC